UACGUAGGGGGCAAGCGUUGUCCGGAUUCAUUGGGCGUAAAGAGCUCGUAGGCGGUUCAGCAAGUCGGGUGUGAAACCUCCAGGCUCAACCUGGAGACGCCACCCGAUACUGCUGUGACUUGAGUCCGGUAGGGGACCACGGAACUCCUGGUGUAGCGGUGAAAUGCACAGAUAUCAGGAGGAACACCGGUGGCGAAGGCGGUGGUCUGGGCCGGAACUGACGCUGAGGAGCGAAAGCGUGGGGAGCGAACAGG
rnacentral:rRNA from 1 species